UUAAAGUUAGGUCAGUGUUUGUUUGUGCAGGUUGUCUUUGGACCCCAGAGGGCUUGUCUAAGGAGAAAUUAGAAUUGCACAGCAGCUAAAGUCCCCCUGUAUAUAUGGCUGACUUUGGUAACUCAUUUCUUUGCAGUGUCAGAGGGACUGGAUGUAAAGCAGAGAUGAACAGAAGAGGCUGGAGGAGCACAGUCAGAAGAUGCAGAGCCCUCAGCCCAGCAGAUGACAGGCACCAGAGGGAAGGUGAGCCUGGUGAGCAAGGCAAUGCACCGACUUCUAACAUACAGUCCAACGUGACGGGGAC